rnacentral:rRNA from 1 species
GAUGAACGCUAGCUACAGGCUUAACACAUGCAAGUCGAGGGGUAACGAGAGGAAAGCUUGCUUGCCUUGUCGACCACCGGCGUACGGGUGAGUAACGCGUAUCCAACCUGCCCCCAACUAGGGAAUCACCUAGCGAAAGUAAGACAAAUACCCUAAAAUUUCUGCAGAUGUCAUCCGACGAUGAAUAAAGAUUUAUCGGUCGCGGAUGGGGAUGCGUCUGAUUAGCUUGUUGGCGGGGUAACGGCCCACCAAGGCAACGAUCAGUAGGGGUCCUGAGAGGAAGGUCCCCCACAUUGGAACUGAGACACGGUCCAAACUCCUACGGGGGGCAGCAGUGAGGAAUAUUGGUCAAAGGGCGGAAGCCUGAACCAGCCAAGUAGCGUGCAGGAUGACGGCCCUAUGGGUUGUAAACUGCUUUUAUACAGGAAUAAAGUUAGCCACGUGUGGUUAUUUGUAGGUACUGUAUGAAUAAGGACCGGCUAAUUCCGUGCCAGCCGCCGCAGUAA